UAGAAAGGGAGGGGGCACCUGCACCUGCCAUUAGCAGGGUGAAGGUAUUCACCUGCCACUGAUUGCAAAGGGUUGUUUCUAGAACCUCAAUGGAGAAGGGACAGAAGGGCGCCAGAAAUAACUUAGGAGGCUAUUGCGGUAGUUUGGGUGAGGAAUAGGGGUGGGAGAUUAGAUGACAAGCAUCACACGCAGGUGUUCAAAAGCUGCUUUGGAGGCAGAAGAAAAGGACUUCUUGCAGGGGUCAAGGGUCAGUGGCAUCAUUAGGAACCAGGAGUAAUGACUCUGGUCUUCUGAAAGUGCUGUCCUGUUACAAGCAGCCCAUCAAACUGCAUUAACAGUCAUAUCGGCUUGGCAUGGUAUGCCAUCCACUUGUAUGGAGCCCAAAGGGAUCUGUUGGUGGUUGGUUGAGCACCUUUUCUUGGACUCAGGACAGUUGUAUCUUCCUUGGCAACACUGAUGCCUGUCCCCAGUUGUACUUUGAAUCACCUCCUGCCAGCACCUUGAAAAUCAAGUUUCCAGAGACUGUCUUUGAAGAGGCAUUACCAUCAGAAGAUACUGUAUGAUGAUGGCUUCUCCCCUAGAAUGUCAGAGGAUGUAAGCCUGGGCAGAGGGAAGAUUUUUCUUCUCUUUCUAUGAGGAAGCUUGCUUUCUCUAUCAAGAGACGAGUGCUGGACAGAGAUGGAAAGCAAGAAGCCAAGAGCUUCAGGGCUCAGCCAUAGGCCUCACAGGCUCUCGGAUUUCCUGCAGAGUGUGACAGUGUGGCUGCAUUGAACAGGAAUCACACCCUUUCAUUGGCGAGGCAGGUUCUCCAUCCAAAAUGGAGGAUGUGCACAGGCAUGACGGGCCUUUGACGGUGAAUUCUUCAGAUGGUCAGGAAAAUGAAGCAUCUGACCACAGAAUGAGAAUACUAUGUGUCUUACUCUGACUUGAUAAGAACACACUAAACAUGGAUCCAGCCACCGACUCAAGGAAAUUGACCAUCUUCCAGGACUUGUACUGUUUGGGGUCAGAAGGUGAUAUUAAUGAAAAAGAUACUUGCUUCCAUCCAUCUGGGGGAGAAUACCUAACAAAACAAAAACCAAUGAUAUGUUCUCCCUCCCUGUUCCAGUAAUAGCAGUUAUAUUGUAAGAAAAUAAAUAAAUGAGGAACACACCUUUUAUUCAGCAAGACAUAGAUGGCAUUUAUUUUUUUAUGCCUAGCCCUAUCAUUUGGUGCUGAAAACAUUUGCUCUGUGAUGAGGACUUGCAUCCAUUAAGGCCCGUGAGUUGGGAGCUUCAGUACCACAGUGACAGCAGCAAUACAGGACCUGAGAGGUCAUUCACAGGUCAAGAAAGUUAAAACCUGGCAACAACACAGAUGCUUUGCAUUUCGAAUGGGGGCUUUUGUGCAAAAGGGAAAUAGGAAAGAUGUUUAAGAUGUUUAUUAGCCAAGUGUCAGAGAAGUGAAAGUGUGGAUAACAUAAGUAUGAGAACCAAAAUGAUCUUGGAAGCCAAUCCCCUUGAUUCACAAAUAAGAAAUGAUUUGACUUUUCUCUUCAUUGUACUGCUUAGUUGUUAUAUGUUCUUGAGGUGUGCAAUGGGGUUAUAAUAGACCAUUUGGCUAUGGAAUUGGUUGAAUUCAGAAGGAAACAAUACUCGAUGAAUCUUUAGAGCAAAAGUAUCUUGACUUCAGAGCAACCAUGGCAGUAAUUCCAAGUGGCUGAGAGGAUGGCUCCCCAGUGUCCUAACAAUGUCCCUGUUAUCCCAAAGUUCACCCAGAUUCCACCUCUACACCCCUGUGCAAAUCUUAAGACUAGUUGCAAUGCCUUGAAAGGUGAUGGGUGGGGCAAGGGGAGAGCGGGAUGGAUCCUAAGGCUACAGCCCCCUCUGCCUCUUGGCUUCUCUUAGAACUGACUCAUUCUUGAAGCCUCUCCUAACCUAAGCCCCUCACAUUGCAUCCUGCCUCCAGGACCUGGUGCAUGUCUCAUCUCUAGCACACUCUGCCUUGAAACCUGCUCAUUCACUAAUGUAGCAUCAUGUAAAGGAUUUUGUAUGAUUUGUGUCGUUUCCUUAUAUGGCUUUUUAAUGUGGCAAGUACACUAGAUUGUAUUCUUUCUAAGGAAAGGUUGUCCAUUAACAUUUGCUUUUCAUUGUAAUACAGUGCUCCAUGUGUUUUUGUUGACAGGUUUCUCAGUUGCUCUUCUAUAUUUCUGAAGGUUUAACAAAACAUUUCCAUGGGCAUGCCCUUAGCUUUUAUUCUAAAGAACCCACUACAUAUUUAACAGUAGCAAAAUAUUUUUCUUUUUUUUUAAAGAUUUUUCUUAUUUAUUCAUGAGAGACACACAGAGAGAGGCAGAG